AACCUGGGACCUUUCAGUCUGCAGGCCGACGCUCUAUCCACUGAGCCAAACUGGUUUCGGCUCACAUCACUUCUAUUGGACUGGCUCAAAGGACUAAAAACCAAAACCUAAAACAUGUUUCUUGUUUCAACGUAGUUGUACUCAACGUCUGGACCAUGAUCAGCUUGGAGGCCCAAGGACAAGAUCCUCGGGUAUUUACUGGAAUCCUGAUGUUUACUCCCUGGAUGCCCUGCCUAGAGGACAAUGUAAACAUGUGUCCUCCUGAGAUUACUCACCCUGCUGAUUGUAUCUGAAGAUAAAAAUUCCAAUAAAAGCCUAACGAGGCAGGCAAUCGAGGCUGUCUGGUUGCUAUCAGCCAGGCUGUCCCUUAGCCGUCUCUCCCACCGUGAAA